UACGGAGGGAGCUAGCGUUGUUCGGAGUUACUGGGCGUAAAGCGCACGUCGGCGGCCGUUCAAGUCAGAGGUGAAAGCCCGGGGCUCAACCCCGGAAUAGCCUUUGAAACUAGAUGGCUCGAAUCUUGGAGAGGUCAGUGGAAUUCCGAGUGUAGAGGUGAAAUUCGUAGAUAUUCGGAAGAACACCAGUGGCGAAGGCGACUGACUGGACAAGUAUUGACGCUGAGGUGCGAAAGCGUGGGGAGCAAACAGG
rnacentral:rRNA from 1 species